GGAUAUGUUGCGUGCGAAAUUGGUAAAACUUCUUUUAGGUAUUACCAUAAGGUACAGUUAGUAUUUUUUUUGCAAUAAUUGGUAACAUUGCUAUAAUGUAAUUUUGAAUCCAUCAUGUUGGUACAAAAUAAAUCGUACGUGCAUCGUCAUUGCAGGUGAACGAUGUCGUGAAAUAACAUCGAGUUUUUAUUAUCUGGAGAGUUUUAGCAACCUACUAAAAAAGCAAUUACAAAAUAUACAAUCAAGGCUACCUAAUUUGGAUGUCCACUAUAUCAACGAAAGGAUCCAUUUGGCGAACUGUUUAGAUUCAAUUUGAAGGACGCCGUACUUCCCGAAACAGGAAUAUUCUCAUAUGGAUAUGGGUUCCGGAUAAACUUCGAUAUGCCCGAGGAAGGAAAAUUGCAUAAAAUAUCA